rnacentral:rRNA from 1 species
GACGAACGCUGGCGGCGUGCUUAACACAUGCAAGUCGAACGGAAAGGCCCUGCUUUUGUGGGGUGCUCGAGUGGCGAACGGGUGAGUAACACGUGAGUAACCUGCCCUUGACUUUGGGAUAACUUCAGGAAACUGGGGCUAAUACCGGAUAGGAGCUCCUGCUGCAUGGUGGGGGUUGGAAAGUUUCGGCGGUUGGGGAUGGACUCGCGGCUUAUCAGCUUGUUGGUGGGGUAGUGGCUUACCAAGGCUUUGACGGGUAGCCGGCCUGAGAGGGUGACCGGCCACAUUGGGACUGAGAUACGGCCCAGACUCCUACGGGAGGCGGCAGUGGGGAAUAUUGCACAAUGGGCGGAAGCCUGAUGCAGCAACGCCGCGUGCGGGAUGACGGUCUUCGGGUUGUAAACCGCUUUCGCCUGUGACGAAGCGUGAGUGACGGUAAUGGGUAAAGAAGCACCGGCUAACUACGUG